UACGUAGGGGGCUAGCGUUGUCCGGAAUCAUUGGGCGUAAAGCGCGCGCAGGCGGCUUCUUAAGUCUGAUGUGAAAUCUCGGGGCUCAACCCCGAGCGGCCAUUGGAAACUGGGAAGCUUGAGUGCAGAAGAGGAGAGUGGAAUUCCACGUGUAGCGGUGAAAUGCGUAGAUAUGUGGAGGAACACCAGUGGCGAAGGCGACUCUCUGGUCUGUAACUGACGCUGAGGCGCGAAAGCGUGGGGAGCAAACAGG
rnacentral:rRNA from 1 species